GACGAACGCUGGCGGCGUGCUUAACGCAUGCAAGUCGAACGGAAAGGCCUGCUUUCCCUUGUGGAUUGCGGGUACUCGAGUGGCGAACGGGUGAGUAACACGUGAGUGAUCUGCCCCCAACUUGGGUAUAAGCCUGGGAAACUGGGUCUAAUUCCCGAUAGGACUGCAGGGUGGUGCCUGUGGUGGAAAACGAUUUUCUAGUGGUUGGGGAUGAGCUCGCGGCCUAUCAGCUUGUUGGUGGGGUAAUGGCCUACCAAGGCGGCGACGGGUAGCCGGCCUGAGAGGGUGGACGGCCACAUUGGGACUGAGAUACGGCCCAGACUCCUACGGGAGGCAGCAGUGGGGAAUAUUGCACAAUGGGCGGAAGCCUGAUGCAGCGACGCCGCGUGGGGGAUGACGGCCUUCGGGUUGUAAACUCCUUUCGACCGCGAGGAAGCCACCUGGUUGGAAGGGUGGUGACGGUAGUGGUAGAAGAAGCACCGGCUAACUAC
rnacentral:rRNA from 1 species